CUGUACAGUAAUGUAGAUAGGUGCGCGUACGUUGGCAGCAUUGGCUUACCACGAUUCUUUACUAGUUUAGUCAGAAUCCCCGAAAAAUCUCCGAGAUUGAAAUGUUGUAACACGCCGCCCGACUCUUGAACAUAAUUCAACUAUGUCCAAACAUAAUGCAUGGCAGUACAUUCAGGGCCGUAGGAAGCUCUUUUCGAUUGGGGGGAGGGCUGAAAGCGAGGGCCGAAGGCCCGAAGGCCCGAGGAAAUUUUUAAAUUUAGAGUCUCUAAAAUGCCAUUUCCUGGACUUUGUGGGAAGAUUUAACAGAAUUCUGAUAGUCAGAAAACAGCGUUUUAGUAUGUCGAAAUUUACAGGAAAGUAUGGGCCAGACUGUAGUAUUAUAAAUGCGCGGCGGGAAUUUUCGUCGUAAAUGGCA